rnacentral:misc_RNA from 1 species
GUGAAUCAUCGAAUCUUUGAACGCAUAUUGCACUCUCUGUUAUUCCGGAGAGUAUGCCUAUUUGAGGUUCAUUUGAAUUAAUUUAAUUUCCAAGAUUUCUCGGAUUUUAAAAUGGGUUUUCCUUUUUUUGUGGUCGCCUAAAAUCCAAGACAAGCUCAUUUUCUUGGUUUGCGUGAUACUUUCAGUUACUUCUUGACUUACCCAGGAUUCAUCGGGCGUGUUUUGAUUUUUGCAAGAGAUAAAAAUUUCAUUAG